GCGCUCCUCUUGCAGGCCAGCAGCCCAUGUUAUGUUUCAAAUGCACCAUUGCCAGCUACGGGACCUAGCAAGCUUCCACCACCUUUCACACAAGUGGGUGACCAGGUCCACUUGACUUCGAGCGUAUUGGUAA